rnacentral:rRNA from 1 species
UACGUAGGGGGCAAGCGUUGUCCGGAUUUACUGGGCGUAAAGAGCUCGUAGGCGGUUUGUCGCGUCUGCCGUGAAAGUCCGGGGCUCAACUCCGGAUCUGCGGUGGGUACGGGCAGACUAGAGUGCGGUAGGGGAGACUGGAAUUCCUGGUGUAGCGGUGAAAUGCGCAGAUAUCAGGAGGAACACCGGUGGCGAAGGCGGGUCUCUGGGCCGAUACUGACGCUGAGGAGCGAAAGCGUGGGGAGCAAACAGG